UCUCUACUUGCGUAGGCAGUCUCACUAGAGUCCUCAACUGAAUGUUAGCAACUAGUGACAGGGGUUGCGCUCGUUGCAGGACUUAACCUAACACCUCACGGCACGAGCUGACGACAACCAUGCAGCACCUUGAAAAAUGUCCGAAGAAGGAUCUAUUUCUAAACCUGUCAUUUCCCAUUUAAGUCUUGGUAAGGUUCCUCGCGUAUCAUCGAAUUAAACCACAUGCUCCACCGCUUGUGCGGGCCCCCGUCAAUUCCUUUGAGUUUCAAUCUUGCGAUCGUACUCCCCAGGUGGCUAACUUAUCACUUUCGCUUAGUCUCUGAAGCGCAAGGCCCCAAAAACGAGUUAGCAUCGUUUACGGCGUGGACUAC
rnacentral:misc_RNA from 1 species